rnacentral:rRNA from 1 species
AGAUUGAACGCUGGCGGCGUGCCUAACACAUGCAAGUCGAGCGGUAACAGGUGUAGCAAUACAUGCUGACGAGCGGCGAACGGGUGAGUAAUGCUUUGGAAUCUUCCCAGUAGUGGGGAAUAACCAGUCGAAAGAUUGGCUAAUACCGCAUACGUCUGUAAAGGGAAAGCGGGGGCUCGUAAGACCUCGCGCUAUUGGAUGAGCCAAAGUCGGAUUAGCUUGUUGGUGGGUAAUGGCCUACCAAGGCGACAAUCCGUAGCUGGUCUGAGAGGACGACCAGCCACACCGGAACUGAGACACGGUCCGGACUCCUACGGGAGGCAGCAGUGGGGAAUAUUGGACAAUGGGGGAAACCCUGAUCCAGCGACGCCGCGUGUGUGAAGAGGCCUGCGGGUUGUAAAGCACUUUUAGUGGGGACAAAAGCUACGGAUUAAUACUCUGUGGUCUUGAUUUAACCCAAAGAAAAGCACCGGCUAACUCUGUGCCAGCAGCCGC